GCUGAUUCUGUGAACUUAACUUCUGUUGGUGCUAGUAAUUGCCUGCUUCUUUUGACUGGUUGUACCCAGAUCCCAAACCAGAUGACAGUCUAUUGACAACAGUGGUAUCUCUGUCCCAUGAAUGGCGUUCUUUUUCUGCUUCUGGGUGAAUCUGUCCUUGAUGGAAGAUGACAAUUCAGGAGGAGCCAAAGACGCCUGCUUUGAGCCCAAUGUUGAAGUGCCAACUGUCACGGACCACCCCAGCUGGGUAUGGGGGUCCCUGGGAUGUGGGUUCUCGAGGAUGUGGGUAAGGAUUCGGAUGCUCUAAGUCGCUUGAAUCUUGUUCUCCAGGACACCAGGGUGGGGUUAGGGGUGGGGUCUACUACUUGGCUGCACCUGCUUUCUAGAUAAUCUGAAAACAUCCCAUCAACAUGCUCACUCUCGCUGCUCUGAGGGUCCCGUUUCUUCAGUAGCGUCUUCUGUCUUAGAAGGGCCCCUGUCCUCAGGCAUAACUUUGCUGGCAGACAUAGGUGUUCCAAAUCUUUGAGAACGGCACGUUCAGAAGACAGUACUGAGAUAGCAACCACAGCAAGCAUAGCAUGAAACAUAUUCUUUGCUGAUGAUGGCUUCCUGGUAUCAGAGAUCAUUUGUUGUGCUCUCUGGGUGAGUUUAUUCAAUCGUCCCGAGCUGCUUCCGUUGCUUGCUCAGAACCAUUUUCACUGAGCUUGUUCUGGA
rnacentral:lncRNA from 1 species